rnacentral:rRNA from 1 species
GUUGUCAGGGAAGAACAAGUACGGGAGUAACUGCCCGUACCUUGACGGUACCUGGCCAGAAAGCCACGGCUAACUACGUGCCAGCAGCCGCGGUAAUACGUAGGUGGCAAGCGUUGUCCGGAAUUAUUGGGCGUAAAGCGCGCGCAGGCGGCCUUUUAAGUCUGAUGUGAAAGCCCACGGCUCAACCGUGGAGGGUCAUUGGAAACUGGAAGGCUUGAGUGCAGAAGAGAAGAGCGGAAUUCCACGUGUAGCGGUGAAAUGCGUAGAGAUGUGGAGGAACACCAGUGGCGAAGGCGGCUCUUUGGUCUGUAACUGACGCUGAGGCGCGAAAGCGUGGGGAGCGAACAGGAUUAGAUACCCUGGUAGUCCACGCCGUAAACGAUGAGUGCUAAGUGUUGGGGGGUUUCCGCCCCUCAGUGCUGCAGCUAACGCAUUAAGCACUCCGCCUGGGGAGUACGGCCGCAAGGCUGAAACUCAAAGGAAUUGACGGGGGCCCGCACAAGCGGUGGAGCAUGUGGUUUAAUUCGAAGCAACGCGAAGAACCUUACCAGGUCUUGACAUCCCGCUGACCGGUCUGGAGACAGAUCUUCCCCUUCGGGGGCAGCGGUGACAGGUGGUGCAUGGUUGUCGUCAGCUCGUGUCGUGAGAUGUUGGGUUAAGUCCCGCAACGAGCGCAACCCUUGAUCUUAGUUGCCAGCAUUUAGUUGGGCACUCUAAGGUGACUGCCGGUGACAAACCGGAGGAAGGUGGGGAUGACGUCAAAUCAUCAUGCCCCUUAUGACCUGGGCUACACACGUGCUACAAUGGAUGGUACAAAGGGCUGCAAGACCGCGAGGUUUAGCCAAUCCCAUAAAACCAUUCUCAGUUCGGAUUGCAGGCUGCAACUCGCCUGCAUGAAGCUGGAAUCGCUAGUAAUCGCGGAUCAGCAUGCCGCGGUGAAUACGUUCCCGGGCCUUGUACACACCGCCCGUCACACCACGAGAGUUUGCAACACCCGAAGUCGGUGGGGUAACCCUUACGGGAGCCAGCCGCCGAAGGUGGGGCAGAUGAUUGGGGUGAAGUCGUAACAAGGUAGCCGUAUCGGAAGGUGCGGCUGG